rnacentral:rRNA from 1 species
GCUCGGUAUAACAGCCGCUGUUUAUUAGAUCUUAGUUAUCUACUUGGAUAACUCUGGCAAUUCUAGAGCUAAUACAUGCACGCAGUCUCGGACCUUCGGGAAAGAGCGCAUUUAUUAGAACAAAACCAAUCGAGCUUCGGCUUGUUUAUUGGUGACUCUGAAUAACUUAGUUAAUCGCAUGGUCUUAGUACCGGCGAUGUAUCUUUCAAAUGUCUGCCUUAUCAACUUUCGACGGUAGGUUAUACGCCUACCGUGGUUAUAACGGGUAACGGAGAAUAAGGGUUCGACUCCGGAGAGGGGGCUUGAGAAAUGGCCACCACAUCCAAGGAAGGCAGCAGGCGCGCAAAUUACCCAAUCCCAGAACGGGGAGGUAGUGACGAAAAAUAACGAGACAGUCCACUAUGUGGCCUGUCAUCGGAAUGGGUACAGUUUAAACUUCUUAACGAGGAUCUAUUAGAGGGCAAGUCUGGUGCCAGCAGCCGCGGUAAUUCCAGCUCUAAUAGCGUAUAUUAAAGUUGUUGUGGUUAAAACGCCCGUAGUUGGAUCUUCGGUCUUGAAGCUCGGUAAUUCGUAAGAAUUUAACUGAGUCUUCUGGCCUAAAUUUUAGUUUUCCCCUGAUGCUCUUUAUUGAGUGUCUUGGGUAGCUGGAACGUUUACUUUGAAAAAAUUAGAGUGCUAAAAGCAGGCUAUAUGCUUGAAUAAAGUGCAUGGAAUAAUGGAAUAGGACUUUAGUCUCAUUUUGUUGGUUUUCGAAAUUAAAGUAAUGAUUAAGAGGAACAGACGGGGGCAUUCGUAUUGUUGCGUUAGAGGUGAAAUUC